CUGGGAGCAGGGUGGCCAUAGGGAGGCCUGAAAGCCGCAUCUCUGAAACUGUUGCCGUCGUUGGUCGUCUUCACGGGACGAAAAAGGCCCCGAGGUGGCUGUCCUGUCUAUGUGGUGCUGGGCCUCGGUCCCCGCUUUGUUGUAGUGGCGCUUACGCACCACAGCCCUAAAACAACCACCUUUUUGCAGUCCUGCUUCCCUCUAUGCGCAAACAUCGGGCACGCUUGUGUAGCAGAGGCUUUAGUCUGGGAUCAGGUGAAUGAGGGUUGCAGAAAGGAUUUCCCUUCACUGAGACUCGCAGCCUGGCCUCUCCUUUUCAGAGUAAGUGCCUACAUACAGCCUAUUUCAGUUCCUUCAAAGAAAUAAUUAUUUUCUACCGUGUGUGGCCCUUGCAGGAAGAAGUCCAAGCACCUCCCUCCCUCUGUUAUUCUGUAUCUCCAGUGAUCAGAGCACUUGCUUGGGAGCUGAAGAUGUGGCUCACAGUCCUUCUCCCAGAACUUUGUGUUUUGCCUUCUGACAGCUGGUCGACGUGAAGUACAUAGAGUAGACUUGGAAAAGGGGACUGAAAUCCAAGGCUGUUCCCCUCCCUUCCCCAUGGCAAUGUUAUUAUUGCUAGGUCACAGCCUCUUCUUGAUUGCUCCCAUGAAUCCUGAAUCCCCACCCUUUCCCCCAGGCAGCAGUACGGGUUCAACAGGCUGGUUGAAAAUGGAGCGUGUGUUAGGCUAGCCUACCUCCCGGCAGAUCCUCUUCAGGCUAGCCGACCUCCCUGGGUUAGAUACCCUUCAGGAAGGUGAGAGAGAGGCAUCUGAACCCCAUCAGCCAGAAGUGGGGAGACCUUGACCUUGGGUUUCCUGGUGUGGGGGGUACUGCAAGGCACACAGGGGGAAGGAAGUUCCCCCUGGGGAGUUGAGAAAGGGUUCAAAGGAGCUGGUGAAGUGUUAAGCAAAAGCAGUCAGUGGCUCAGCACAUGGUGGGGAAGUUGAUGAUAAGCAUUUGCAGCUGGUUCUCUCUCUCUCCCACCCUGGAGGAACUGGGCGGCUGCUGACUCAGGAGCUGCAUCAAGUUGGAGGAAUGGGAAUGGGGUCACAUUUCCUGAGUGCCUGAGACGUGCUGCAGCCAGUGAUGGGAUAGCGAUGGGCACCUCCUACCUGCUGUCCCCGUCUUGGAAGAGCGAUCACAGCACCGUGCUGUAAGGAGCUGGAGCUCGCUGAAAUCUUAUCCAAACGUUUUUGUUCUGACUUCGUUAGAAGAGGACUUAGUGCUUCAGUUCUUUUCAUACAACUUCUAUGAAGUUCAGUCUUACGGUGCCCUUCCUCUGGCAAGGGACUGAGAUGGGUUCGAUGCCUUAGCUGCUUUUUGGUUUUUUGCUGAGUGACAAGCUGUGGGGCAAUCUUUGCCCUCAGGGCCUGGGCAUUUACGGGUUUAGCGGGGACCAAGAAGAGGCCAAGGCUGACAAGUUAACCAUGCAUGGCCCGUGCCACCCGGCAGUGAGCUCUGAAGGCAUGGGAGGCAAUCUUUAUGCCUUUAUAAUGAACCUGAGAGCAGUGUAACGAUCUGGCUUGUUAUGACUGAACAGAAAACCCAUACUUCAUCUUGCUGUGGUGUUGUGCUUUCUUUUAAAUGUCAUCUGUAGAGUCUCCCAGUGAGUGGGAGCUUCAGUUUUGCUUUAUAUUUCUUACAGAUGCUGACAACAAAAUUUUCAUAUGAACAUGGUCUGCUGGGUUACUGAAAUAGAGCCAGAUUCUUUCUUAGAGGCUUAAGUAAGCUAAAAAGAGUUUGCAGUAACUCUUACACUUCAAUCAAACUAUUUUGUCACAGUGGUGAUGGGGACUGUUCUACUUGCAGGAAUGUUGGGACUAAUCAUGUGAGAAAAGAGAAAAGAUCCUGGAGUGAUGAGGCAGCAUAUUUCCCAUGUUUGAGGUCAGGAUUUAGUCUGUGAAGCUGACCUUUAAAACAGCCUGAAAAUGAGGAACGUGGCACCAGAGAGCGGAGCAGGAAGCAUGAACUGAUGUAAGAUACAUUUCUUCUGCCUAUGAAAUACUUUUUUUUUUUUUUUUUUUUUUUUUUAAAGCUCCAGGUUUGUGAUUCAGCAUUUUCUGCCACUGACAGAAUAUAAGAAA